rnacentral:tRNA from 1 species
GGGCUCAGUGGAAAGAGCAUCUGCUUUGGCAUCAGAAGGUCCCGGGUUCAAUUCCCAGCAUCUCCA